GAAUUUCACACGCAUUGUGCAACUGAAGUCCAAGUUUAUGCCAGAACUUGACAUCUGCUCCAGGCUGUCUGCUGAGUGCCAUAGGAAGGGAGGAGAAACAAGACAUAAGAUUAAGGAGAUCAUGGCUGCCAUUGAUCGGAAUCCCAUCAUUGGCUCGUUGAGAGUUUGCCACCUGCAAGCACUUGUUGUGUACUUGAAGGCCCUGAGAAACUCAAAGGAAUACCUGAGCUGCCAGGACUGGUGUCAUCACUGAAAGCAGUCAUAAACAACAUGGCAGAUUCAUCUAUUUCCUCCAGCCAAAGCGACUCACCACGCACUAGCAGUGAGACUUGCAGUGAAGACAUGGUACUAUGACUGAAGUACCUUGAACCGAUCCCUCAUUAGCAUUGUGCAGGCCCUCCAUGAUUUUGUGAUCUUGCACGUUCACCAAUUCAUGCAAAUUCAGGGACUUUGCUGCAUUUGCGUGUUGUAAUAUUCAAUAAAUGUGAAUGGUGAUGUGUAGUUAUGUUCCUGUUAUUGUGUUAUUAGCAUUAUAUAUCCUUUGCUUGAAUUAUGUAUUUUUGUAAUUUUAUUGUAAUAAAGUUCCCUUUCUGAAA